GUGUCUUUGCAGCUCUGUAAGGAAUGUUUUGUACGGUUUUGAUCUUUAUGAUUUCUUUUUCUUCUUUCCAACGUGGACACGAUCGAGAGUACACCGGGUGGUUGCCCUGGCAGUUGGCACAACGGUACUCAUUGCUGCAAGUCUCUGGCGAAUGGUCUUUGCCAGAGCACUUUGGGCAGGUGGAGUGUCCGCGGCAGACAAGCGAACUGUGCCCAAAAUGCUGGCACUUGAAACAACGUCUUGGGUUUGGAAUGUAUGGUCUGACAUUGCAACUGAGAGACCACGCCCUGCUCACUCAGUCCAUCUUCAAUCUCAGAUUCUGUGCAUUCGAUGAGUUCAUCUUCUGAUAUUACACCUUUGGUUAUGUUCAGUGUGCGGUGUACGUUAACAUUUACAGUGCAGCAGGCGUGUCGCCCACCAUGGAGCCCAACUUGGGGAACGUGCCCCGCACGCUAACACCUACCUCUGCACUAUACCCUAGUGCAGCUUCUGGAGAGUGAAAAGACUGCCCAAGGUUGACCCUUGCCGCCAAAGAAGGUGAAGGGAGGAAAAGGAAGACAGUGAAGGA